rnacentral:rRNA from 1 species
UACGAAAGGUGCAAGCGUUGUUCGGAAUGACUGGGCGUAAAGCGCACGUAGGCGGGUUUGCAAGUAGGAUGUGAAAGCCCCAGGCUUAACCUGGGAAUGGCAUUCUAAACUACAAACCUUGAAUGCUUGAGAGGUUGGUGGAAUGCCUGGUGUAGGAGUGAAAUCCGUAGAUAUCAGGAGGAACACCGGUGGCGAAGGCGGCCCUCUGGACGGUGACUGACGCUAAGACGCGAAAGCGUGGGGAG